CUUGAUCGAGCCCAGCCACAGCGGCUGGUCCUCGGAACGCGCCUGGCCGUACGUGGCCAGCAGCGCCUGCGCCUC
rfam:Streptomyces autolyticus strain CGMCC0516 plasmid unnamed4, complete sequence.